UAAUAUGACCACGAGACCGAUAGCGAACAAGUACCGUGAGGGAAAGUUGAAAAGCACUUUGAAGAGAGAGUUCAAGAGUACGUGAAACCGUUUAGGGGUAAACCUGAGAAACCCGAAAGGUCGAAGGGAGAAAUUCAUUCGCGUUUCGUAGCAGGCGUUGGAUGGUCGCGUGACGGAUAGUGUUCGCUCACUUUCCGCGCCUUCCGUUUUUCGAACCGGCGACGAACGCGUGCACUUUUCUCCUGGUAGGACGUCGCGAUCCGUUGGGUGUCGGUCUACGGCUCGCGGUGGAGCCCGUUCGUACGUUUUCGCGUACGGGCGGACCCGCGUGUCCUGGCUGACUCGCUCGACGGUACUCGAAAGGUUUAAGGCCGCUCUCGGAGCGUUCGACUCGUGACAAGCGCGCCGGACGUGUCGGCGAUCGGACCCGGUGCCGAUUCUGACCUCCGGUGACUGUUGGUCGCGAUGUUCUCGAACAGACCUAUAAACCGAUCUGCGACGCUAUAGCUUUGGGUACUUUCAG
rnacentral:rRNA from 1 species